ensembl:lncRNA
GUAAAAAACGAUAUAAAUACUGUUCAGUUUCUUGCACAGACCGAUCGUUUCAUGUCUUUACACAUCAAUGUAUCGUCACAAGCCACAGGGUUUAAUUUGGAUUUUUUUUUUUUUUUUGUCUUACUGUAUGUUUAAGCCGUGAUUCCCAUCCACUUACAUUAUAUGAGUGAUAGACUGCAACGGUUUGAGUUAAAAAUCUUGGUUUGUGUUCUACUGAACAAAAAACAAAGUCACCUACAUCUUGGAUGCUCUGUGGGUAAGCAGAUAAACAUCAAAUUUUCAUUUUUGGGUGAGCUAUCCCUUUAAUUUUCUUUACUUAAAAUGUUUUUAGGAUGAAAUGUGACCUGCAUAUGUUUUCACUCAGUGAAUGUUCGUCUGUAGAGAUAAAGGUGGAAGAACGUCCAGCUAAUAUGCUUGCAUUUAAAGUUUUAGUCACAGCAAGAAAAAGGGCAGAUUCUGUGCGUUCGCAGGCAUUGGAUGUGCCACCGGCAGUGAGGAAGAGGGCCGCUGGCAUGCCAUGGGCUGAGCACGUCAGGUGCCAACAGAGCCAGACAUUAUGGAAUAAAUCAGUCCACUGCGGCUCAUCUGACUUCAGCAGAGCUGAUGACCUUCCAAGUUCUGAUCAGCCUCCAGUUACCACAGCAGAUCUCAGAUCAGCACUCCUCUCUGCUGCUGGUUUAGCUUGUUAGCUGUUAGUCCCUGCUGGCUCAUGCUGUAACGUUAUGACAGAUAGCAUAACAUUUUUGCAAGCAACAACACAAGUCACAAAUAUUUCAUUACAGGAGCCCCUGGGUCGAGAGGAGAUCGGGGAAGGAAGCUAUCAUCAAAUAUAGACAAUAAUCUGAUAAUGUGUUAUGCAUAACUCAGCCAGCACAUCUGUCUGAGAGAUGGAUGGUUUGUUUGUGUUUGUGUGAUUCUCACAAACUGAAAGAACUUCUAAUGCAUCUACUACAUUUCUGUCAGUGAUUGUUGCCAAAUAGAUUUAAUUACUGAUGAUGAAUCUACUGUACUGUAAAUGAUGGAGCUGUCAGAGAGAGGUGUUUGUAAUUCUAUAAAACAGAUUCAUUUUGCCUCAUUAGUGCUGUUUGCUAAUGCAACCAUCACUGUUACUGUUACUCAGUGAUUCGUUCUACAGAUGUCAGUGAUGCCUCAAACCAUGUGACUUGUUGCAGGAGACGAGAAGAUUAUUUUUUAAGAGAUCAGAUGCAAGAUUUCCACUUAGCAGGUGAUAAAACUGUUGCAAAAUCCUGACAUUAUGGUGGUGAGCUUUGCACAUGUAUUUUCUUCAGAAAAACCAGCAUUGAAGUAAAUGAUUUAUGUGGGUUUUUUUUUUUAUGAUGUGCCUGAUGUUACUCGACCUCAC